ACGGGUGAGUAAUGCCUAGGAAUCUGCCUGGUAGUGGGGGAUAACGUUCGGAAACGGACGCUAAUACCGCAUACGUCCUACGGGAGAAAGCAGGGGACCUUAUGGCCUUGCGCUAUCAGAUGAGCCUAGGUCGGAUUAGCUAGUUGGUGAGGUAAUGGCUCACCAAGGCGACGAUCCGUAACUGGUCUGAGAGGAUGAUCAGUCACACUGGAACUGAGACACGGUCCAGACUCCUACGGGAGGCAGCGGUGGGGAAUAUUGGACAAUGGGCGAAAGCCUGAUCCAGCCAUGCCGCGUGUGUGAAGAAGGUCUUCGGAUUGUAAAGCACUUUAAGUUGGGAGGAAGGGCAGUUACCUAAUACGUGAUUGUUUUGACGUUACCGACAGAAUAAGCACCGGCUAACUCUGUGCCAGCAGCCGCGGUAAUACAGAGGGUGCAAGCGUUAAUCGGAAUUACUGGGCGUAAAGCGCGCGUAGGUGGUUUGUUAAGUUGGAUGUGAAAUCCCCGGGCUCAACCUGGGAACUGCAUUCAAAACUGACUGACUAGAGUAUGGUAGAGGGUGGUGGAAUUUCCUGUGUAGCGGUG
rnacentral:rRNA from 1 species